CCUACGGGUGGCAGCAGUGGGGGAUAUUGCACAAUGGGGGGAACCCUGAUGCAGCGACGCCGCGGGGGUGAAGGAGUGCUUCGGCAUGUAAAGCCCUAUCGGCAGGGACGAAGCAAGACGGUACCUGACUAAGAAGCCCCGGCUAACUACGGGCCAGCAGCCGCGGUAAGACGUAGGGGGCGAGCGUUAUCCGGAUUCACUGGUUGUAAAGGGAGCGUAGACGGCAAGGCAAGCCAGGGGUGAAAGCCCGGGGCCCAACCCCGGGACUGCCCUUGGAACUGUGCGGCUAGAGUGCGGGAGGGGCAGGCGGAAUUCCUGGUGUAGCGGUGAAAUGCGUAGAUAUCAGGAGGAACACCGGCAGCGAAGGCGGCCUGCUGGACUGCGACUGACGUUGAGGCUCGAAAGCGUGGGGAGCGAACAGGAUUAGAUACCCGAGUAGUC
rnacentral:rRNA from 1 species